CCGUCGGCAUCAUGGCUGCUUCCAUUGGCGCGCCGAACGUAGCAGCCAAAAUGGUGGUCGAGACGUCGUUACUUUGUGAGUGUGCGGCCAUGUUAGAAUCAUCUAUCUAUCCAGUCGCACGAAAUGCGGCCGGCCUCUGAUCGACAUUACCGGUAUUGCUCGCAUGUCCUUAGGUUAGGUUAGGUCCCGAUCGAAGCUUUAUUUCCGGUUGUUCGCGUGAAGGAAGGAAGGGAUCUGUGAAGCCGCCGGAAGGACGAUGCUGUAGUAGUGGCGCGUCGUCAUCCACGGCUCGUCCGCGGGCUCGAAGGGGAGAAAGAGGUUGCAGAUAUCUGGGCUGGGGAAGAUAAUCUGAUGCGGUUGGAUUCAACUAGAGGAAAUGUGGAGACUGGGAAUUCUGGCCUAGAUCCUGCACUUCGUCUCAAAGACAAGAAGCCAGACGAUGACGAAGAACAUUGUGUGAGGAAAAGCACUAGGGAUCCGGCUUGUCUGAUGGUGAUAUCUACUGUCUUUCCCCUGGUGCUCCUUUUGCUUUGUGGCUUGAUCUCGGUGGGAGAUCGUUUUGACAUGUGUUGCCUCGUCAUUGUUACCCCCUAUAAUAAGGCUACAAGUUUAUUUCGGUUGUUGUUCGUCAGACGCUAGCAUUAGGGUGGCGUUUUAUUUUAUUUUUUGGUACUUAUAAUCUGCAUGAACAUGGUUUCGUUAUCUCGCCGAUAAUGAAACUCAAUCCAUUGUUUGA